CUAUUUACCUGCUCAUACUGACUUUGUCAUUUUUUUUUCUCCUUUGUGGGAGGGAGGAGGGAUCUUUACAUUCUUUGGCAAUGAGAAUUUGCUUGUCCCUGGGGCUAAGUGAGGUAGGUUCUCAGCACAUUUUUGAUGAAUGACUGAGGAGUACAGCCCAGUUGCUCUGUGGAGUGUGGAGCAGUACCUAGAAAAGGGCUCCAGGGAGGAGGAGGGGAGGGGCUAGUUUCUUGUUCUUCCCUCUUUCCAACCAUUUGGUCUUAGACGGUUGCUUAAGGGGGCUGAAGGGGGCAAGGAACAGCAUAAUUUCUGGAUUCUCGUGAGGCAAGGAGAAAAGCCACUAGACUCCCUGGAACCAGCGUAAGCUGGCUGAUGGAGAAACCAAUGCAAGGACCAGUAACCCAGCCAAGAGGUGUGCUUGAGCAAGGGCCCCAGUCAGAUGGUGGAUAUGGACGAUGGGUGACCCAGAGGCUGAUGGACUGGACCCUCACAAUGGUCAUGGACCCCAGUACUGAGCAGCAUGCUGUCAGUCUGUGGGAGCAUUCAUUCUCAUGCCUGCAAGUUCAUAUAUUUAUCCCUCCCAGACUGUCGCCAUCCACAAAAUAA
rnacentral:lncRNA from 1 species